CUGCCACCACCAUGCUUCACUGUAGGGAUGGUGCCAGGUUUCCUCCAGACGUGAUGCUGCCACCACCAUGCUUCACUGUAGGGAUGGUGCCAGGUUUCCUCCAGACGUGAUGCUGCCACCACCAUGCUUCACUGUAGGGAUGGUGCCAGGUUUCCUCCAGACGUGAUGCUGCCACCACCAUGCUUCACUGUAGGGAUGGAGCCAGGUUUCCUCCAGACGUGAUGCUGCCACCACCAUGCUUCACUGUAGGGAUGGUGCCAGGUUUCCUCCAGACGUGAUGCUGCCACCACCAUGCUUCACUGUAGGGAUGGUGCCAGGUUUCCUCCAGACGUGACGCUGCCACCACCAUGCUUCACUGUAGGGAUGGUGCCAGGUUUCCUCCAGACGUGAUGCUGCCACCACCAUGCUUCACUGUAGGGAUGGAGCCAGGUUUCCUCCAGACGUGACGCUGCCACCACCAUGCUUCACUGUAGGGAUGGAGCCAGGUUUCCUCCAGACGUGAUGCUGCCACCACCAUGCUUCACUGUAGGGAUGGAGCCAGGUUUCCUCCAGACGUGAUGCUGCC